AACGAACGCUGGCGGCAGGCCUAACACAUGCAAGUCGAACGCUCGUAGCAAUACGAGAGUGGCAGACGGGUGAGUAACACGUGGGAACCUUCCCUAUGGUUCGGAAUAGCUCAGGGAAACUUGGGGUAAUACCGGAUAAGCCCUUCGGGGAAGGAUUUAUCGCCAUUGGAUGGGCCCGCGUCGGAUUAGCUAGUUGGUGAGGUAACGGCUCACCAAGGCAACGAUCCGUAGCUGGUCUGAGAGGAUGAUCAGCCACACUGGGACUGAGACACGGCCCAGACUCCUACGGGAGGCAGCAGGUGGGGAAUAUUGGACAAUGGGCGCAAGCCUGAUCCAGCCAUGCCGCGUGAGUGACGAAGGUCUUC
rnacentral:rRNA from 1 species